CCCAGGGGGCGUGGCCCUGCCUCCCCGCCCACUUCCGGGAGCCAUCGCUCCCGCUAGCGCAGACCUCCAGCUAGCUCUCGCGAGAGAUUUGCACUGCUCCCAGACUUGAUUCAGAGACGUUUUCUUUCUCCAGUGAGAGGUAGUUAAAGCAAAGAUGCAUUCCUGUUGAAAGUGCUGAGGACAACUGACCGAGAGUGCUCCAAAGUAGACGGCACAUCUGUAUCAACUGCCUCCAAAAAGCCCAGAGAAAAUGAGACAAAGAAUGCAAGAGCCAGAGGAAGGGGAGGAAUGCUUGGAAACUGUGUCCUCUGGACAUGAUGUGCUACUGCCCAUGUAGAUUCAUAGCAGCUAUGGUUGCUAUAUAAAACCUGCAGAAGAUCAAAUCAGUUAAAAAUCCUAGCAUAGCGAGGAAAGGGGCCCAAAGCCCUACCCCAGCUGAAGAGUUAUUAGCAGUUGAUGGCUACUAAGGGAGGGACAGUCACUUCUCCUUAGGAGUGUGGCCACUCUAGGCUCACCAUGCCCUAGUGGAUGACCCCGCAUAUACAUGUCAGCUGCACUAAUUGAACUUAGUUGGUUAAAAAUAAAUAAAUAAAUAAAUAAAUAAAUAAAUA